AGUGGCGAACGGGUGAGUAAUGUAUCGGAACGUACCUUUCAGUGGGGGAUAACGUAGCGAAAGUUACGCUAAUACCGCAUAUUCUGUGAGCAGGAAAGCAGGGGAUCGAAAGACCUUGCGCUGAUUGAGCGGCCGAUAUCAGAUUAGCUAGUUGGUGGGGUAAAGGCCUACCAAGGCGACGAUCUGUAGCGGGUCUGAGAGGAUGAUCCGCCACACUGGAACUGAGACACGGUCCAGACUCCUACGGGAGGCAGCAGUGGGGAAUUUUGGACAAUGGGGGCAACCCUGAUCCAGCCAUGCCGCGUGAGUGAAGAAGGCCUUCGGGUUGUAAAGCUCUUUCGGCCGGGAAGAAAUCGCAUAGGCUAAUACCCUGUGUGGAUGACGGUACCGGAAUAAGAAGCACCGGCUAACUACGUGCCAGCAGCCGCGGUAAUACGUAGGGUGCGAGCGUUAAUCGGAAUUACUGGGCGUAAAGCGUGCGCAGGCGGUUUCGUAAGACAGAGGUGAAAUCCCCGGGCUCAACCUGGGAACUGCCUUUGUGACUGCGAGGCUAGAGUACGGCAGAGGGGGGGGUGGAAUUCCACGUGUAGCAGUGAAAUGCGUAGAGAUGUGGAGGAACACGGAUGGCGAGGCAGCCCCCUGGGCCGAUACUGACGCUCAUGCACGAAAGCGUGG
rnacentral:rRNA from 1 species